rnacentral:rRNA from 1 species
GACGGAGGGUGCUAGCGUUGUUCGGAAUCACUGGGCGUAAAGGGCGCGUAGGCGGCGUCGCAAGUCGGCUGUGAAAGCCCGGGGCUCAACCCCGGAGGUGCAGCCGAGACUGCGGUGCUCGAGGUCGGAAGAGGAGGGUGGAAUACCCAGUGUAGAGGUGAAAUUCGUAGAUAUUGGGUGGAACACCGGUGGCGAAAGCGGCUCUCUGGUCCGAAUCUGACGCUGAGGCGCGAAAGCGUGGGGAGCAAACAGG